rnacentral:misc_RNA from 1 species
AACGCACAUUGCGCUCCUAGCCUCGGCAAAGAGCAUGCCUGCCUCAGCGUCGAUGUAACCCUCAUCACCCCCAAUAUCCCUACUUGUGGAUUUUGUGUGGUUGAUGGACCUGAUCGUCCCGGCUUUUUAAUCUUUAAAAUAUGCCGGGUUGAUUGAAGUUUCGAGCCAAUCGAGGACCGUUAUGGGCCGCAUCUAGGUAGGUUGCAUUUAUGCUCCAUAUUUAGUUGCUGGCUUGGUUUUCGCAUUUGCUUACCUAAGGAAUUUAUUUUACAUAUUCGACCUGAGCUCAGACAAGAACACCCGCUGAACUUAA